AAGUGACCGUGGCACUUCUCCGAGGUACAAUGGAGCAACCGUCAUCGCUACGUUCAAUCUUCGGCAGUUAUAUUCACCAGGUGCGAUUCUAGCUUGCGAGGGUGGCGCGGCUAUUAAAUCAACUAAUUGGCAAUGUUAACUGUUUUAGACUGAUUGGCAAGAGAAGGCCGCUGCCACAUUGGGUCGUCGUCGUGACGGAAGCGGAGAGGACUGGGUGGGGCGAUUGUAGCUGUAGGCUUAGCUAACACUAGGAAGGGUAGCUCGCACUGCGCAGGCUCCAGCUGGCAGGGGUCCUCUCUCGUUUGCGACACGGACGUCGGCCCAUUCCGAGUGCUAUUGCUUCCCGGUCAUAAUUUCGCGUCCACCGCGUGAAAGGGCGCGA
rnacentral:lncRNA from 1 species